CUAUUACUCCCUCCGUUCCGAAUUACUUGUAUUAGAUUUGUCUAGAUACAUCCGUAUCUAGACAAAUUCAGGACAAGUAAUUCAGAACGGAGGGAGUAGAUA
rfam:Triticum urartu cultivar G1812 contig931177, whole genome shotgun sequence.